UCACAGAGUGUCAGAAGCCUGUUGAGACCACUUCAGAGGAUCAGACAGACGAGCUGGAAGAAGAACAGGGUGAAGAUACUGAUCCUGCAGAACUGAAAGGAGGCAAAGAACCCAAUAGAACAACUGAUGAUGGAGAAACUACACAGAUGGGACAUAGUUCAGAGGAUGAGGGACAGAUGAGAGAAGAUAGGAAGGAAGAGGGAAUUCAGGCGAGAGGAGAGGAGGGAGAUGAAGUAAAUGUAGAGUCUGACACAUCAAUGAAUAAUCUUAAAACAGUGAGUGAAGUGAAAAGCAGUGAAAUUAAAGAGGAAAAGGAAAAUGAAGACAGCAACACACCAGAAAACAGCAAGUCUGAGGAGUUAAAUGCAACUAGAGUAGAAGAUGCUUUUGCAAAUGUUGGAGAACAGCUGAAAGACUCCAGUGAACAACAUCUGGAUAAAGAGACAAAGACAGACAAGGAGGAACAAAGAGGUAAAAAGAAGAACAUGUGUCCUACUGUCUGCAGGUCUAUGGAAAUAAUCAGUGUGUGUCUAACACAGCAUACAAAAACAAUUACUUUUAUUGACUCUUUGUAAUUGAUGUUAUACAUUCAGGCACUUUUUGCAGCUAUGCAUUGUCUAGCUAUAUACAAUAUACAAAAAACACUCAUCUAUCUAUUUCACAGAAUACGUUACAUGAAUGUACACGUUAACAUGUUUGACUUUCUCAUGUUUUUCUUCCCCUCAAGCCACAGAGUGUCAGAAGCCUGUUGAGACACCUUCAGAGGAUCUGAAUGAGUUUAAAGAAGAACAGGGUGAAGAUAUUGGUCCUGCAGAACUGAAAGGAGACGAAGAACCCAAUAGAAAAACUGAUGAUGGAGAAACUACACAGAUGGGACAUAGUUCAGAGGAUGAGGGACAGAUGAGAAAAGAUGGGAAGGAAGAGAGACUUCAGGCUAGAGGAGAGGAGGGAGAUGUAGAGACUGACACAUCAAUUAAUAAUCACACAACAGUGAGUGAAGUGAAAAGUAGUGAAGAUGAGGAGGCACAGGAAAAUGAAAUCAGCAACACAGGAGAACAGAGGAAGUCUGAGGAGUUAAAUGAAACUAGAGUAGAAAAUGCUUCUGUUAAUGUUGGAGAACAGCCAAAAGACUCCUGUGAACAACAUCUGGAUGAAGAGACAAAGACAGAGAAGGAGGAACAAAGAGCCACAGAGUGUCAGAAGCCUGUUGAGACACCUUCAGAGGAUCUGACUGAGUUUAAAGAAGAACAGUGUGAAGAUAUUGGUCCUGCAGAACUGAAAGGAGACGAAGAACCCAAAAGAAACACUGAUGAUAAAGAAACCACACAGAUGGGACAUAGUUCAGAGGAUGAGGGACAGAUGAGAAAAGAUGGGAAGGAAGAGAAACUUCAGGCUAGAGGAGAGGAGGGUGAUGGAGAAAAUGUAGAGGAAGACGAAGAACCCCAUAGAAAAACUGAUGAUGGAGAAACUACACAGAUGGGAGUGAGUGAAGUAAAAAGUAGUGAAAAAAAAGAGGCAAAGGAAAAUAAAGACAGCAACACACCAGAAAACAGCAAGUCUGAGGAGUUAAAUGAAUCUAGAGUAGAAGAUGCUUCUGCAAAUAUUGUAGAACAGCCGAAAGAGUCCUAUGCACGUCUGGAUGAGGAGACAAAGACAGAGAAGGAGGAAGAAAGAGGUCAAAAGAAGAAAAUGUGUCCUUCUUUCUGCAACAUUUAUUGAGAGAAAAAGUGCGCGUCUGUGGCAGCAUACAAAAAUGACCAAUUUCAUUGGUUUUUAGUGAUUACUUAAUUUAUUACUUUUCUUCCACUUAAAAGCCACAGACUGCCAAAAGCCUGUUGAAACCAUUUCUGAAGACGUGACAGACGAGGUGAAAGAAGAACAGAGUGAAGAUAAACUGAAAGGAGAGGAAGUGGAACACAAUAGAAAACAGGAGAAAUAGACACUGGUGAUGAAGAGACAGAGUGAGGAACAGAUGAGAAUAGACUGGAAGGAAGAGACAUUUAGCUACCAAGCUGGCCCUGAAUGUCAGAGGGAAAAUUUUAACACUAUUAGAUAUUAGGCUAUAACUGCAUUAUUUUCCCGCGAACAAACUUGAUUUUUGUCUUGCAUCACAUUUUCAAGAACUGCUCAAAUGUCUCUUUUGUAUCAUGAUGCCGUUGAGUCUGUACUCACACCUUAUCAAUUUCUCAAGGUCAAACACAAAAAUAAACUCAAUAAGGUGGUUAAUAAACUGGAACUGCGCAGGAAACUGUUUAAAUCAUAAAUGUUUUGCUCUUGCUCCUGUGAUUUAUGUGUGCUAACAAUUAAAGUAAUUAAUUGAUUGAUUGAACCUCAAUCAUGCUUUUUAUUUACUGUUACAUUAGCUUGUUAGUUUAUUAUCUUAAAGAUAUAAUAUGUAACAUUUCUGCAUUGCAAUGUCUAAAAUAAUAAGACGUCUGUCAUACGUUUUGUUCAGUUGUGCACUUCCAUUAGUCAUAUAUGUUUCCAGCAAUGUCUGAACUCACAGAAAUCCUGAUUUUAUUAAAUAC
ensembl:lncRNA